rnacentral:ncRNA from 1 species
GCGAUAGGUAGAGGCCGAGAAGCCCGCCCCACGAUUUUGGGCGCCGAAGGGGGCCGGCGGAGCCAGUGGCGCAACCUUCUACCCGAAAA